AUACGUAGGGUGCAAGCGUUAAUCGGAAUUACUGGGCGUAAAGCGUGCGCAGGCGGUUUUGUAAGACAGUGGUGAAAUCCCCGGGCUCAACCUGGGAACUGCCAUCGUGACUGCAAGGCUGGAGUGCGGCAGAGGGGGAUGGAAUUCCGCGUGUAGCAGUGAAAUGCGUAGAUAUGCGGAGGAACACCGAUGGCGAAGGCAAUCCCCUGGGCCUGCACUGACGCUCAUGCACGAAAGCGUGGGGAGCAAACAGGAUUAGAUACCCUGGUAGUCCACGCCCUAAACGAUGUCAACUGGUUGUUGGGGAUUUAUUUUCUCAGUAACGAAGCUAACGCGUGAAGUUGACCGUCUGGGGAGUACGGCCGCAAGGUUAAAACUCAAAUGAAUUGGCGGGG
rnacentral:rRNA from 1 species